AACGAACGCUGGCGGCAUGCCUAACACAUGCAAGUCGAACGAGACCUUCGGGUCUAGUGGCGCACGGGUGCGUAACGCGUGGGAACCUGCCCUUAGGUUCGGAAUAACUCCCCGAAAGGGGUGCUAAUACCAGAUAAUGUCUUCGGACCAAAGAUUUAUCGCCUUUGGAUGGGCCCGCGUUGGAUUAGCUAGUUGGUAGGGUAAAAGCCUACCAAGGCGACGAUCCAUAGCUGGUCUGAGAGGAUGAUCAGCCACACUGGGACUGAGACACGGCCCAGACUCCUACGGGAAGCAGCAGUGGGGAAUAUUGGACAAUGGGCGAAAGCCUGAUCCAGCAAUGCCGCGUGAGUGAUGAAGGCCUUAGGGUUGUAAAGCUCUUUUACCCGGGAUGAUAAUGACAGUACCGGGAGAAUAAGCUCCGGCUAACUCCGUG
rnacentral:rRNA from 1 species